AUUGAACGCUAGCGGCAUGCUUUACACAUGCAAGUCGAACGAGAGGCGGACGGGUGAGUAAUAUAUCGGAACGUGCCCAGUAGCGGGGGAUAACUACUCGAAAGAGUGGCUAAUCCCGCAUACAAUGGGCGCGGCCGGUAUCGGAUUAGCUAGUUGGUGGGGUAAAGGCUAACCAAGGCGAAGAUCCGUAGCUGGUUUGAGAGGACGACCAGCCACACGGGGACUGAGACACGGCCCAGACACCUACGGGAGGCAGCAGUGGGGAAUUUUGGACAAUGGGGGAAACCCUGAUCCAGCCAUCCCGCGUGUGUGAGAAGGCCUUCGGGUUGUAAAGUACUUUUGGCAGAGAAGCGGUAUCUGCAGAAUAAGCACCGGCUAACUACGUGCCAGCAGCCGCGGUAAUUC
rnacentral:rRNA from 1 species